CUUGGAAAAAUCAGCGGGGAAAGAAGACCCUGUUGAGCUUGACUCUAGUCUGACGUUGUGAAAUGACUCAUGAGGUGUAGAAUAAGUGGGAGACGUUGUCGUUUGUGAAAUACCACUACUCGUGUUGUCGUUUUACUUAGAUUGUUACGUGUUGGUUGUUUUGGUGCAAAAAUGGACAAGCGAUCGAUAGCGUCAGGUGGGGAGUUUGGCUGGGGCGGCACAUCUGUUAAAGGAUAACACAGGUGUCCUAAGGGGAGCUCAAUGAGAACAGAAAUCUCAUGUGGAACAAAAGGGUAAAAGCUCAUUUGAUUUGGAUUUUCAGUACGAAUACAAACUGUGAAAGCAUGGCCUAUCGAUCCUUUU
rnacentral:rRNA from 11 species